rnacentral:rRNA from 1 species
GAUGAACGCUGGCGGCGUGCCUAAUACAUGCAAGUCGAGCGAACAGACGAGGAGCUUGCUCCUCUGACGUUAGCGGCGGACGGGUGAGUAACACGUGGAUAACCUACCUAUAAGACUGGGAUAACUUCGGGAAACCGGAGCUAAUACCGGAUAAUAUAUUGAACCGCAUGGUUCAAUAGUGAAAGGCGGUUUUGCUGUCUCUUAUAGAUGGAUCCGCGCCGCAUUAGCUAGUUGGUAAGUUAACGGCUUACCAAGGCAACGAUGCGUAGCCGACCUGAGAGGGAGAUCGGCCACACUGGAACUGAGACACGUUCCAAACUCCUACGGGAGGCAGCAGUAGGGAAUCUUCCGCAAUGGGCGAAAGCCUGACGGAGCAACGCCGCGUGAGUGAUGAAGGUCUUCGGAUCGUAAAACUCUGUUAUUAGGGAAGAACAAAUGUGUAAGUAACUAUGCACGUCUUGACGGUACCUAAUCAGAAAGCCACGGCUAACUACGUG